AACAGCAUGCCUGACUAUAGGUAAACAACAUGCCUGAAUAUAGGUAAACAACAUGCCUGAAUAUAGGUAAACAACAUGCCUGACUAUAGGUAAACAACAAAUCUCACUAUAGCCACACAACAUGUCUGGCUAUAGGUAAACAGCAUGCCUAACUAUAGGUAAACAACAAAUCUCACUAUAGGUAAACAGCAUGCCUGACUAUAGGUAAACAACAUGCCUGACUAUAGGUAAACAACAUGCCUGACUAUAGGUAAACAACAUGCCUGACUAUAGGUAAACAGCAUGCCUGACUAUAGGUAAACAACAUGCCUGACUAUAGGUAAACAACAUGCCUGACUAUAGGUAAACAACAUGCCUGACCUAUAGGUAAACAACAUGCCUGACUAUAGGUAAACAACAUGCCUGACUAUAGGUAAACAACAUGCCUGACUAUAGGUAAACAACAUGCCUGACUAUAGGUAAACAACAUGCCUGACUAUAGGUAAACAGCAUGCCUGACUAUAGGUAAACAACAUGCCUGACUAUAGGUAAACAGCAUGCCUGACUAUAGGUAAACAACAUGCCUGACUAUAGGUAAACAACAUGCCUGACUAUAGGUAAACAACAUGCCUGACUAUAGGUAAACAGCAUGCCUGACUAUAGGUAAACAACAUGCCUGACUAUAGGUAAACAGCAUGCCUGACUAUUGGUAAACAGCAUGCCUGACUAUAGGUAAACAACAUGCCUGACUAUAGGUAAACAACAUGCCUGACUAUAGGUAAACAACAUGCCUGACUAUAGGUAAACAACAGGCUUGACUAUACAGUUGAAGUCGGAAGUUUACAUACACCUUAGCCAAAUACAUUUAAACUCAGUUUUUCACAAUUCCUGACAUUUAAUCCUAAUAGAAAAUUCCCUGUCAUAGGUCAGUUAGGAUCACCACUUUAUUUUAGUGUGAAAUGUCAGAAUAAUAGUAGAGAAAAUUAUUUAUUUCAGCUUUUUUUCUUUCAUCACAUUCCCAGUGGGUCAGAAGUUUACAUACACUCAAUUAGUAUUUGGUAGCAUUGCCGUUAAAUUGUUUAACUUGGGUCAAAUAUUUCGAGUAGCCUUCCACAAGCUUUCCACAAUAAGUCCUCCUGACAGAGCUGGUGUAACUGAGUCAGGUUUGUAGGCCUCCUUGCUCGCACACGCAUUUUCAGUUCUGCCCACAAAUUUUCUGUGGGAUUGAGGUCAGGGCUUUGUGAUGGCCACUCCAAUACCUUGACUUUGUUGUCCUUAAGCCAUUUUGCCACAACUUUAUAAGUAGGCUUGGGGUCAUUGUUCAUUUGGAAGCUUGCGACCAAGCUUUAACUUCCUGGCUGAUGUCUUGAGAUGUUGCUUCAAUAUAUCCACGUAAUUUUCCUCCUCAUGAUGUCAUCUAUUUUGUAGAGUGCACCAGUCACUCCUGCAGCAAAGCACACCCACAACAUGAUGCUGCCACCCCCGUGCUUCACAGUUGGGGUGGUGUUCUUCGGCUUGCAAGCCUCCCCCUUUUUCCUCCAAACAUAACGAUGGUCAUUAUGGCCAAAUAUAUCUAUUUUGUUUCAUCAGACCAGAGGACAUUUCUCCAAAAAGUACAAUCUUUGUCCCCAUGUGCAGUUGCAAACCGUAGUCUGGCUUUUUUAUGGUGGUUUUGGAGCAGUGGCUUCUUCCUUGCUGAGUGGCCUUUUAGCUUCUGUCGAUAUAGGACUCGUUUUACUGUGGAUAUAGAUACUUUUGUACCUGUUUCCUCCAGCAUCUUCACAAGGUCCUUUGCUGUAGUUCUGGGAAUGAUUUGCAUUUUUCGCACCAAAGUACGUUCAUCUUUAGGAGACAGAACGCAUCUCCUUCCUGAGCGGUAUGACGGCUGCAUGGUCCCAUGGUGUUUAUACUUGCGUACUAUUGUUUGUACAGAUGAACGUGGUACCUUCAGGCGUUUGGAAAUUGCUCCCAAGGAUGAACUACACUUGUGGAGGUCUACAAUUUUAUUCUCUGAGGUCUUGGCUGAUUUCAUUAGAUUUUCCCAUGAUGUUAAGCAAAGAGGCACUGAGUUUGAAGGUAGGCCUUGAAAUACAUGCACAGGUAAGUCUCCAAUGGACUCAAAUGAUGUCAAUUAGCCUAUCAGAAGCUUCUAAAGCCAUGACAUUUUCUGAAAUUUUCCAAGCUGUUUACAGGCACAGUCAACUUAAUGUAUGUAAACUUCUGACCCACUGGAAUUGUAAUACAGUGAAUUAUAAGUGAAAUAAUCUGUCUGUAAACAAUUGUUGGCAAAAUUACUUGUCAUGCACAAAGUAGAUAGCCUAACUGACUUGCCAAAAUUAUAGUUUGUCAUCAAGAAAUUUGUGGAGUGGUUGAAAAAUGUGUUUUAAUGACUCCAACCUAAGUGUAUGUAAACUUCUGACUUCAACUGUGGGUAAACAACACGCUUGACUAUAGAUAAACAGCAGGCUUGACUGUAGAUAAACAACAGGCCUGACUAUAGGUAAACAACAUGCUUGACUAUAGGUAAACAACAUGCGUGACUAUAGGUAAACAACAGGCUUGACUAUAGGUAAACAACACGCUUGACUAUAGGUAAACAACACGCUUGACUAUAGAUAAACAACAGGCUUGACUAUAGAUAAACAACAUGCUUGACUAUAGGUAAACAACAUGCUUGACUAUAGGUAAACAACAGGCUUGACUAUAGGUAAACAACAUGCUUGACUAUAGGUAAACAACACGCUUGACUAUAGAUAAACAGCAGGCUUGACUAUAGAUAAACAACAGGCCUGACUAUAGGUAAACAACAUGCUUGACUAUAGAUAAACAACAUGCUUGACUAUAGGUAAACAACAGGCUUGACUAUAGAUAACAACAUGCCUCAGGGGAACCAUAUACCUACUCUUCCUACUUUUAACUCAAACAUUAUCUUGAUUGUGUAUUAUUUAUUCUAUCACUUCUGCGUGGUUAAGAUUAUAUUACACUUAUAUUCAAUACAUUCCGUACUGUUUUACCAAAACCAUUUAUAGGCUAUAUGUCAUAGUUGUACUUACUGUAUUUGUGAAAUGUAUUAAGUUACAUGUGGAGCGUUGUUCGUUGGCUUGUUUGU